UGAAAGAAAGGGCUGAGAAGGGGCAAGGGCUAAAGGGGAAGUGGGCCAGGGAGCAUGAGCAGUAGAGGGGAGAGAAGUGGGGCAGGACAUGGCUGCGGCCAGAGGGUCCCUGGGCCAGGACCCAGAGUAGUGGGUGGGUGGGCCUAGGUCUGCCCCUUACACUGUACUUGGCUGUGGAGAGCCUGGCCUGAUACAGACUGUGGCUUUUCCUGAGGCAAGGGGCUAGACUUUGGGGCUGCAGUUGGCCAUGAAGGCAGGUGCAGACUGAGGACUGUGUAUACCCCCUGGAAGGGGAGAGCUCCAAGUGAAGCAUAGCUGGAGGGCUGUGUCCAGAAGAGGAUGCCGCAAGCCAGGGAGCAAUGCGGGUCCCAGACAGCAGAGCAGACAAUGGUGCUCCGUGGCUAGGACAGAGAAUUCCUGGAGCAACGAGCAGGAGUGCUAUGGUGACUGGUCUGGGAACCAAGUUUAAAACAAAGGGUUCCUGCUAUAUGGAAAAGCUGUAUAAGGCAGGGAGUUGUUCUUCACUCCCCCACAACUCAACACCUGAGAGAAGCUCUGGAAGAAAAGGACUUGGAGUGGAGUUCGGGAGCCCAAGCUGCAAAGCAAGUGCAGCUUGUGCCUUGACAACCUGCAAGCCUGCGUGUAUCAUCAGUCAGGGUGAGAAAUAGCUAAUUCAUAUCCAGUCUUUCUAGUAUCUAAACUUAGU